UAUUCAUUCCGCUCCAGCAAUCUUCUUCUUCAAUGCUUCAAUGUCAUCAGCUAGUUCCUUUCUGCUUGACUGACGAAGGUGGAAAAAGAACGUAACAAUAACGUUUUUUCAGUUGACAUGUAGUUGCAGAGCCAAUCAAGAAUUAAGGUUUCUAUGGUUUCUUAGAACUCAUAGAAACCUUAAUUCCAUCAAGGGUGAAGAAGCUUGAGAAAGCAUCAAAAUUUUAAGUUUUGAUGGAAUCCAAAACCUUGUUUGAAAUAAAGCACGGUUCUCUUUUCAACUAACCUUGAAGAGUAGAUAUCGGUACACGAACCACCCUGUAUAUCCAAGCCCUACCAACUCCAGUAUCUUCGGAAGCUGAGGAGAAGAUGGAUGGAGAGUGAGUGUGAUUUGAAAGAAGUAUUUUGUGUCGUUAACAAGAGAAAACAUCAAAUAGCAAUGAUGAUGCCGAUCAGUGAAUGUAGAUGAUAGAAAAAUAGAGAAGCACGAGUUUGAUGGAAU
rnacentral:lncRNA from 1 species